UGUAUUGCUAAAACACAUGACAAAGACUGAACUGUGAAGUUCCGCUGUCGCCAUAUCUGUUUCCGGUUUACUUGCGCGUCGCCCAAAAUGUCUUUUUACUCGAUGUCUCCAGAAUCUUCCGAAAAUACGCGUCAGCGAUGUUCAUCGCAUUGUUGAUGCCUGGUCCCCUGCUCCGACAAGCAAGAGGGACAAGGGCUUUAAACUCUACAUAUCGAGUUAUCUGCACAACUACAAGGGAGCACACACUCUACAAAGGCCUGACUGGAGAUUUGCCUGAUCUAUCCGUCCUUCAGAUGACAGCGGCUCGCUUCAAGAGCAGGUGAAGCAAGUUGGGACAAUGUUGAAGACAUUUGCUCGCACUGGGCAAUCAGGUGCAGAUCAAACCCUAAUGCUGCG